ACGAACGCUGGCGGCGUGCUUAACACCUGCAAGUCGAACGGAAAGGCCUCAGCUUGCUGGGGUACUCGAGUGGCGAACGGGUGAGUAACACGUGGGUGAUCUGCCUUGCACUCUGGGAUCAGCUUGGGAAACUGGGUCUAAUACCGGAUAUGAACUGCCUUUAGUGUGGUGGUUGGAAAGUUUUUUCGGUGCAAGAUGAGCUCGCGGCCUAUCAGCUUUUUGGUGGGGUAAUGGCCUACCAAGGCGUCGACGGGUAGCCGGCCUGAGAGGGUGUACGGCCAAAUUGGGACUGAGAUACGGCCCAGACUCCUACGGGAGGCAGCAGUGGGGAAUAUUGCACAAUGGGCGGAAGCCUGAUGCAGCGACGCCGCGUGGGGGAUGACGGCCUUCGGGUUGUAAACUCCUUUCGACAGGGACGAAGCUUUUUGUGACGGUACCUGUAUAAGAAGCACCGGCUAACUACGUG
rnacentral:rRNA from 1 species